GUGGCUAAAAUUGAAAAUAUCCGGAUAAGGGCCGGUUCCCUGAAGUGUAAAAAUGAAAGAUGGCCCAAUAAGAAAAGGCCCAACACUUAGUAAGCUCAACCAGGAUCUGGGCUUGACAUUAAGGGUCUAUCAGAAGAGGGGAAAGGGGAGACAUCAGAUUGAAUAAAUCCACCAAUGUGCAUUUCUCCAAGCUGCAGAAACUCCCUUCAUGAAGCAUGUACAUUUUAAAAACUUCAUGCCUCCUUGGGGAGCGGCUAUCACUUUGUCCAUUAAGAUAGGUCUCUGUAACUUGGCCUAUUUGUCACUGUCUGUGGGAAUCCUUAUUAAGUAAUUAUUGCCUGGGUCAUGGGUGGCUGCUUGGUUGAAAUCCAUCAAGUGCAUUGGUUUUUAUUUUAGCACAUUCUAAUAAAAAUUUCUGACAAUGUCCUAGAAAUCAUAAUUCUAUCUUUGUCAUUGGUCCUUCAUAGGCAGACAUCAAGAAUUCUUCUAAUAGUUCUCGUUCUCCAACCAGUGCUCUACUUUUUUCAAUCGUUAUUUUGUUCAUAACAAUUGAGAGUACUUUGUUUGGAACGUAUACUGCAUCUUUAUGUGAAUAUCGCUAUCCUUAUUCCUUUCCAAGAUUAAAGGUUCCUGCCCAGAGUUAUCAACAUGACUUUUACCAUUAAUUUGUCUUAAUGGAAAUACACCAUUUGCUUCCCUCACAGGCGUAAAAUGCAAGGAAGUUGCUAUAAAAGCAUAAAGCUGAAGGAAACACUUUGCUUCUCUUAGAUUUAUUCUUGUACUUGGUUUGAUGAUUGACUUAUCAUUAGCAGAGGAGUCAAUUUUGUAACUGGUCGCUGGUUCUAAAUUCUAAUAUGCGUCUGGUGACCUCCCACUUGCAGGAGCACUAGAAUUUCGUGAGAUUCCUAACAAAAGUCAAUGGUGGUAAUCUUCCAGUCUUCAUUUCUUAAUUAAUGGUUGACUUUGACAGGUGCGCUCCUGUUGAGCUUUCUUUAUUUUUUUUUUUUAAAAAGAAGAAAAUAAAUUCAAAUCCAUGCAUAAAUCCUGGAGUUGGAUUACACGUGCGGAAGGAUAUUAGAAGAUUACACUUGUACUUAUCGGUUGUUUAAAAAUUUUCAAAGGGUUUUAAAUGAUCCUUACUACUUCAUUCAUUACUUUAAAGUUUUGGUUAGGUACUCAGAAAAUCUGAACCAUGCAUGUGCGAGCCAACUAAUUUGAGAAGGAUGCGUAAAGUUUGAUGCAAAAGGUCUUGUUGAUCUUGCA